rnacentral:SRP_RNA from 1 species
UGGUCUGUCCUCCGGGAUGCCGGGGGCUGUGAACCGGGUCAGGCCCUGGCGGGAGCAGCCCUAAGCAGUCUCCGUCAUGUUCGGAGGGUAGCGGACCUGAGA